rnacentral:lncRNA from 1 species
CAGAACUCCCCGUGGGCACCAACCCUUCUUCCCAGCAGGGCCCCAAUUGCAUGCAGGUUCUUGGCAUAUGGCAGCCUGGGUCUCAUCCUGACUGUGGACAGCUGCUGUGCCUGCCCAGCAUUUACUGCCACCUGAAACUCCAGGAUUAGUACUUCUUUAAAACCUCAUUCAUUGUCUGCUUUCCCCACCAGAAGGUAAGGCCCAAAGCUCAAGCAUUUUUAGCUUUCCUCCCUGCCGUAUUUCCAGUACCUGGAGGUUGAAUUAAUUUCUCUUUCUGCUUCAUUCA